AUGAACGCUGGCGGCGUGCCUAACACAUGCAAGUCGGAUGUGCCGCAAGGUGCAUGGCAGACGGGUGAGUAACGCGUAGGGAAUCUACCUUUUUGUGGGGAAUAACGCUCCGAAAGGAGUGGUAAUGCCGCAUGAGACCGUGAGCUGGGAUGUUCACGGUGAAACCUGGGGACCGCAAGGCCUGGGGCAAAAAGAGGAUCCUGCGUCUGAUUAGCUAGUUGGCGGGGUAAUGGCCCACCAAGGCGACGAUCAGUAGCCGGCCUGAGAGGGUGAUCGGCCACACUGGAACUGAGACACGGUCCAGACUCCUACGGGAGGCAGCAGUGGGGAAUUUUGCGCAAAGGACGAAAGUCUGACGCAGCAACGCCGCGUGGGUGAUGAAGGUCUUCGGACUGUAAAACCCUGUCGUCAGGGACGAAGGUGGCAGUGUUAAUAGCGCUGUUACUUGACGGUACCUGGAGAGGAAGCCCCGGCUAACUCUGUG
rnacentral:rRNA from 1 species